rnacentral:lncRNA from 1 species
GAGGCUCCGGGCGCUCCCCAGGAUGUCGCUGCCCAUGAGGAAGACGAGGACGCUCCGGAGCAGCUUCUGCGCCUCCAGCAGAGCCACCUUGGGGCUGCUCCAGCCUGGAAUUCCGUGGGAUCAAUGGGAAUGGGAUCCCAAGUGUUCCCUCCUCCUCCUCCCAGCAAAGCUUCCCCAAAUCCCAACUCCACCCUUCCUCUUCCUCGUCCCAAUUCCCUUCUCCCUGAACUCCUCCCUCAUCCCGAGCUCUCUCUUCCUCCUCAUCCCCAAAACCUCUCGUUCCUCCUUCUCUCCAUCCCAAAUUCCCACCCUCUUCCUCCUCAUCCCAAAACUCCCUCCUCAUCCUCAAAACCCCUCCCUCUUCUUCCUCUUCCUCAUCCCAAAAUUCCCUCUCUCUUCCUCAUCUUCAUCCCAAAUCCCCCCUUUUUCCUCUUCCUCAUUCCUUCUUCUCUCCAUCCCAAACUCCCUUCCCUCUUCCUCAUCCCAAACUUCCUUCAUCUCUUCCCAAACUCUCUCUCCACCCCAAACUCCCUUCCUCUUCCUCAUCCCAAACUCCCUUCAUCUCUUCCUCUUCCUCAUCCCAAACUCCCUUCCCUCUUUCUCAUCCCAAACUCCCUUCCUCUUCCUCAUCCCAAACUUCCUUCAUCUCUUCCUCUUCCUCAUCCCAAACUCCCUUCCCUCUUCCUCUUCCUCAUCCCAAAUUCCCUUUCUCCUCCCCCUUAUUCCUUCUCCUCUCCAUCCCGAACUCUCUUCAUCUCAAAUUCCCUUCCUCUUCCUCAUCCCAAACUUCCUUCCUCUUCCUCAUCCCAAAAUCCUUCCCUCUUCCUCAUCCCAAACUUCCUUCCUCUUCCUCAUCCCAAACUCCCUUCAUCUCUUCCUCUUCCUCAUCCCAAAUUCCCUUCCUCUUCCUCAUCCCAAACUCCCUUCCUCUUCCUCGUCCCAAAAUCCUUCCCUCUUCCUCAUCCCAAAUUCCCUUCCCUCUUCUUCAUCCCAAACUCCCUUCCUCUUCCUCAUUCCAAACUCCCUUCCCUCUUCCUCUUCUUCAUCCUAAACUCCCUUCAUCUCUUCCUCUUCCUCAUCCCAAACUCCCUUCCUCUUCCUCAUCCCAAAUUCCCUUCCCUCUUCCUCAUCCCAAACUCCCUUCCUCUUCCUCAUCCCAAACUCCCUUCCUCUUCCUCAUCCCAAACUCCCUUCCUCUUCCUCAUCCCAAACUCUCUUCCUCUUCCUCUCCCUCAUCCCAAACUCCCUUCAUCUCUUCCUCUUCCUCAUCCCAAACUCCCUUCCCUCUUCCUCUUCCUCAUCCCAACUCUCCCCUCCUCCUCCUCCUCC